rnacentral:rRNA from 1 species
UACGUAGGUGGCAAGCGUUGUCCGGAAUUAUUGGGCGUAAAGCGCGCGCAGGCGGUCCUUUAAGUCUGAUGUGAAAGCCCACGGCUCAACCGUGGAGGGUCAUUGGAAACUGGGGGACUUGAGUACAGAAGAGAAGAGUGGAAUUCCACGUGUAGCGGUGAAAUGCGUAGAGAUGUGGAGGAACACCAGUGGCGAAGGCGGCUCUUUGGUCUGUAACUGACGCUGAGGCGCGAAAGCGUGGGGAGCGAACAGG